AGCUUGGGGGCCUGGCCAUAGCCACAACCCAGGCCAGGCUGCCUACCACACGUGUGGGUGUCACGUGGGGCCAGAGACCACAGGACAGGACACGGACAGUCCUUGCGUGGACCUGGCCCUGUGGCCUCACCAAGACCUCAGCUCCUGGGAUGGGGGAGGGGAGGGACAGAGCCAGUUUCCCCAAGGGUGUCUGCUUCUCAGCCCAACCCCUGGACGUCGUCACAGCUGGUACAUGGACCCCCAGGAAUGCACACAGAGGACCCUGACCCGAAACUCGGUUUCUGGGGGCCCUGGAGGUGCAACGGUCCAGCCCCGCAGGCAGUGAGCAAAGCUCUGAACACAGCAGGGUGACCUCACGCUGCACCGCAGCCUUCACAGAACGCUUGAGACAUGGACGCCGUCUGAGCACGCACGAGCUGGCAGAUGGGGUUCCCUCAGUGAGCUUAUGAGUGACGCAGCUCAUUCAGUGAAAGGAAGGGCAGCCUCCCUGUUAAGGCCACACCUAGGAACCGGCUUAAAUGUCCAGAAACUCCUCAGGUACCGCUGGGCUUCCCAAACCCCCUCAAAACUAAUAACAUUUUCACUGCUGUCACCAAACAUAUGGAGACAGACAUGCAAGGGGCAGCUGGUUUUGGGGGUCUCUGUCCAUUCAUCAGUGUCUGUGGGGCCUGGAGGAGACGGGGAAGCUGUGGGGGCCGGCCAGGCACAGGGAGGCUGAGGCUGUUGGGAUGUCUGUGGACUCUGCUCUCCUCCUCCUGUGGAGGAUCCUUCAUCCCCACAGUGGGAAGACCAGCC
rnacentral:lncRNA from 1 species